CGCGGGGUGGAGCAGCUUGGUAGCUCGUCGGGCUCAUAACCCGAAGGUCGCAGGUUCAAAUCCUGCCCCCGCUA
rnacentral:tRNA from 2 species